CUGCCCAGAUCACUGAAGCAGCAGGAUGUGAUCUCCACCACUGAAAAAAAGGGAAUGUUGAGGAAGUCAUGGCUGAAGCCCACUCAGAGGUAAACGGCAUCUCUUCCAGGAAUAGAACUAAGACAGAUGGGGACAGCAGAGGACAUUUCGGGGAUACCAAGGAUCACACAGAAGUCUGGAGGGGGGUCUGCUGAAUGACAUGAAGGCACUUGGCACAAAUGCCAUCACCUGAAAUUACCUUGAUGUGACAUAUUUCCCAACCUCCCCCUCAUUAUUAUUUUUCUUAUAAAUGUUUUCUUGUUUAAGUUAAUAUUUUAUUUUCCUCAUUUUAUUUGAAGAGUUUCUUUUUAUAAACAUAGAAGGAAUAGGUAGUGAUAAUUGUGGACAUAACAUAUAUUAGACUAGGUAAAUGAAAAAUACUAAGUUAAACUGCCCCCUUCUCAAUGAAACGCCUAUUCUCUAUCCUGAUAAGGGAGUUGGCAGUCAACUCUCUGCCCUGUGUCUUUCUGAGAGUUUCCCUCCACUGAAGAAAGCUGCCCUGCCCAAGGUUACAAUCCUUUCCUGGAGUUCAGUAACUUCCAACGACUGGUCAAUGAUGGGAGACAGGGUCUAAGGCCAGGCUCUUUUACUUCAAGAAGGAAGCUCUGAAGAAUAGUUCCCGUGAAAGCCUCUUUUCCUGGGUCACUGCACAGACUCCAUCACUGUGUCUUUGUUUUGUCUGUGAAGGUGAGUUUUGCAUUUUGUUGCUAUUUUGCUUUGUCUUCGAUGUUGCUGAGAUAGGAUCCCACUGUGGAAUUCAAGCUUGCCUCACACUCACUUUGUAGCUAAGGUUGGCCUCAAACUCAUAGAGAUCUUUCCGCCUCGGGCUCCCACAAGCUGAGAUUACCAGUGUGCUCCAUCACACCCAGCUAGUACCACUUUGUCCAGAGACCAACACUGAGGGUCCAGCCUGGUCUGCACAGCUAGUGCCAGGACAGGCUCCAAAACUACACAGGGAAAUCCUGUCUCAAAAACAAACAAAAAAAAAAAAACAGCGAAGAUGCCAUUUUUCCAAUUCUUCCACGAAACCAGUCAUCUGUCUGCUUGAUAGCGAACUGGCUGCACUUGAGGGAUCAGGGAUAUGUUUUGACUAGAGCUAAAAGUAGCCUGAGUGUGGAUUCACCUUUUCUGCCCUCAGGGAUCAAAAUCUGGAGUAUCUGACCCAUCACCCCAGAGUUCUGCAUAGAGAUUUUAUUGGACUCAGAAAACUACAGCUGAGUAAACCAUGAGUGUGCGGUGAGGGCUGACUGUUCCUAUUCUCUCCAGCUUCCAUUGCCAGAGAAUCAACAAGAUAGACAACCCUUAUCCAAACUAACUAAAAGGCAGAGAGAGAGAGAGAAUAUCCAAAUUAACACAAUGAGAAACAAAAGGGGGACAUAACAACAGAUAGCAAGAAAAUCCAGAGAAUCAUAAGGGCAUACUUUACAAACCUGUACUCCACCAAAUUCGAAAAUAAAAAAAAUGCUAUUUUUCUCCAAAAUGCCACUUAAAUCAAUAUCAGGUAAACAAUUGAAAUUGACCUGUAGCCCCUAGUGAAAUAGAAACUGUUGCAGGAUAAUUGAUCACAUUGAUACUCGGAGAAUGCUAAAGUUAACCUUGAAUCAUGGACGGAGUCAGUGACUAGCUGACCAAAAUUAGUCAUAGAGACUUUGGAGGCACAGAGAAUAGUAGGAAUGGGCUUAGGAUCUUACAAAGAUUUUCUGCUUGAGAAUCAUGGAGAGGGUCAACUGGACAUUCCUCCAAUGCUUUCUUGAUCUAUGAGGUUUUUACUCCAAUAUCUGACUCCCAAAUUUUUAUUAAUAAUAGAACAAUUUAGAUAAGCACUUCAUCUGGUGUCUAACGUGCUACACGAAAUUGUGCUAACAAUAAUUCUGCUGCCACCACAGGACACACCAUUCCCUCACACUUCUGCUCCCUCCAAAUCUGCAGCAGCCACCAGCAGCUAUCCACCCUGGCCCUGAACGCCUUCUGCCACCAGCCUCAACCCGGAAUACUGCAGUCACAGUCACCUGAGGCCCAUACCCUCACAGGAAGCACCCUAGGCUUUCUCUGGAACUGUUUCCUGGGCGCCGCUGCACCAGCUCAGCUCACGUGCUCACCCCUGCUUUGGCUUCUGCUGCUGCUGCCAUUGCCACACACAGUCUGCACCCUCAAUCCUUGGAUGCACGUGAGCAGCUACCGGCGCCUUUAGCCCAGCCUGAGCAGCACCCAGGCACCGUGUCUCACUUCCAUACACACACAGCCACACCCUGACACUACACUGGCUAACCCUGCACAACUCCACCGUCGUUGCAGUCACUGCUGUGGACAAACGGAAAAGUCAGCAGAUCUGGAUCCAGAAAUACACACUGGGAAAAAAAGCAUCUUCAGCAAAUGGUGCUGUCAAACUGGAUGACUGCAUGUAGAAGGAUGAAAUAGAUUCAUACUUAUCACCCUGCGCAAAACUCAAGUCCAAGUGGAUCAAAGACCUCAACAUAAUCCAGGUACACUGAGCCUGAGAGAAGAGAAAGGGGGAGGAUCCUCAAAGCACUGACACAAGAGACGACUCUCCGAGCAGAGCAGCGGUAGCGCAGGUACUAAGAUCAACAAUGGGUACCGGGACCUCACAACUGAAACACUUCUGUCAGCAAAGGACACUGUCAAAGGGCAGCCUCUGAAUAGGAAAAGAUUUUUACCAAUUCCAUGUGUUGACAGAGAAAUAAUAUCCAAUAUUUAUAGAACUAUUGCUAGGCAGUGGUGGUGCACACCUUUAAGCUCAGCACUCAGGAGGCAGAAGCAGGAAGAUCUCUGUGAGUUCUAGGCCAGCCUGAUCUAUAGAAGUUCCAGGACAGUCUCC